rfam:Rickettsia bellii RML369-C, complete genome.
AACCUUUACAAAUUAAUCAAAUUAAGCGAUAAUAGUAAGUGCUAAUAUAGCUAUAGUAAUAAACGUAAUUUAGAAUAGAGGUUGCGGACUCGGGGGCAGUACCCGACGCCUCCACCAAUAAUGUGCUAUGUCAUUCCUGAAUGGAACAAAAGCCGUCUUCGGUGUCAUCCCGUGGCUUGCUAACUAGAUCCAGCAUAAAGCGAGAUAUAUCGAGCUUUUAAUUUUAAAAAGUUACUUUGUUUGUAAUUUUUACUGGAUCCCGUGGACAAGCCACGGGAUGACAAGCUCUAUAAGGCAAUGACAUAACAAUAAAAAUAGUGCAAUGACAGGGGGGCGAAAUAGGAUCGACGUGCCUAAUAAAAAAAUUGCUUUUACUCGGGAUGAUUCCGCCGCAGGCUUUUGCCUUACGGGUCAAAACAAAGAAACGCAAACGAUAACUAUCGUUCCGCAGGUACUCCAGCUUUAGCUGUAGCAUAAACCUGCACGGCUUGGGGGUUUGCCGGGUAACAGAAAAACCCUCA